GCCAUCAUUCAAGGCUUAAUACAAAAUGAAGGGUUUCCAACCCGACUCAUUACAAUUGGCCAAUUCUCAAAGACACAAAAUAAUAAAGUCUAAGACCCUAUACAUGCUAUAUUCAAAAAUAUAAAUCCAACUAUACCGAAGCUUCGGCUGAUAGUGUGAUCGAUAUCUCUAACUUCUGGUGAUCCUUGAGCUAGUUAGGCUACACUGUAAGGAAAUGGAAAGGAAAGGGAGUAAGCAUAAAAGCUUAGUAAGUUGCAUAUAAGUAAUAUACAACAACAAUAUAUCAACAAUCACCAUGCUCAUAAUACCAAGGUAGGCAUAAGUAUAACUUACUCAUUACCGUCCAUACAAAUCACAAAUCAUGUAUAUAGAGCUCAUAUCUCAUACGUACCAAUUAGGUACCUGUACCACUCACAACACAGUUAUACUUUUCUUCAUUAAGCUAAAAUCAUUACUUUCACCGUCGAACCAUUCGGAACACUAUCAGAUAUUCCAUAAGCCUCAAACAUGGGGUAAGUUACCGAUGCCAUGUCCCAGACAUGGUCUUACACUGACACAUCUCGUAGCUGAUGCAUGUCCCAGACAUGUCUUACACUGGCUUACGUCUCGAGGCCGAUGCAUGUCCCAGACAUGUCUUACAUUAGCACCCGUCUCAAUGCCAAUGCCAUGUUCUAGACAUGGUCUUACACUGGCUCUCAUAGUGUGGCCGAUGCAUGUCCUAGACAUGUCUUACACUAGCCCACAAUAACCCAUAUGUCAUGGCAUGAAUAUCUGAUUUAUUUCCUAAGUUCAAAUGAGAACUCUGCUAUCUCUAUUAUCAUCAUGCUUUCUCAAUUCCAAAAUCAAGCAAUUCAUGCUAUAUUAAUUUCAAGUACAAUUCAACACAUACAUUAACAAUAUAGUUGUAUUAUUUACAUACAACUUACCUCGGAUUAUAAAAUGUACACGACUAGUCGGAUUCGUCGAUUUGCUUGGUUUUCCCCUUGUCUAGGUUUGAAUUUGGCAAUUUGUGAUCUAUAAUAGCAAAAUGUACUUAUUUAGUCACUAAAUAGAAUUAAGCAAUCGACAAUUCACAUCUUUGGUAAAAUGAUCAUUUUGCCCCUAGACUUUGACAAAAUGACCAUUUUACCCUUAUGCUCGAAAAUCAAUUUUUAUCGAAUUUCUUCGCAUCUUAAGCUUAGCUAAACUCUUUUUACUCUUAUAGCAACCCCAAAUUCUCUCUAUUUCACACAUUUAUCACUUAUUUUGCAACUUAUGCAAAAUAGUCCCUUUAGGUGUUUUCAUGCUAACACCUUUCACAAAAGUUCUCUAUUACACAACUAAGACUCAUAUUCUUCCAUAAAAACUCAGAAAACAUCACAAAUCCAUUCAUGGAAAAACCUUAAAUUCUUAAUCAUUUUGCAAAAUAGACCCCUCAUUUGAAAGCUCAUGCUUCUAGGGUCUCAAAAAUGUAAAAAAAAUCAUUAAGAGAAACUAUCAAAAUCACUUACUUGAGAGGGCUCAAAGUUGCUGAAAUUUUUGAAGCUUUCAAACCCCUACAAUGGCUGAUAUUUUUGGCUAGGAAGAGAAAAAAUAUGAUAGCUUUUCCUUCUGUUUUAUUAAAAAUACAACUAGUCAAAAUUGAUGACCUAAGCUUCACCUAAUUUUGACCUUCUCUUCAAUUUGUCUCCCAUGGCCGGCCAAGCUAUUGUCUAAUGGUGUAAUUGCCCUUUAAAAUACCCCAAUUUUGACUCUCUAAUAAAAUAACACCUUUAGCUAUCAAAUCAAGACUUUUACACUUUAUGCGAUUUAGUCCCUUUUUGCAAUUGGGCUCACAAACGUUAAAAUUAGCUCAUCAAAUUUUUAAUGCACUAAUAUAAACAUGAAAGUCGAUGCCAUGUCCCAGAUAGGUCUUACAUUGACUUUUAUAUAUCAAGGCCGAUGCCAUGUCCCAAACAGGUCUUACACUGGCUCUCAUCUAUCGGUGUCGAUGCCAUGUCCCAGACAGGUCUUACACUGACACACAACAAGCUAACGUCAUGUCCCAAACAGGUCUUACACUAGCUUGUAUAUCUCGAGGCCGUGCAUGUCCCAAACAUGUCUUACACUGGCUCUCAUAAUGUGGCCGAUGCAUGUCCCAAACAUGUCUUACACUAGCACACAUAUCACCCAAUGUCAUGGCAUGAAUAUCUUAAUCUAUUCCUAAAGUUCAACCGGGAGUUAUUGCUACGUAAAUUCUCAUAAUUUGCAUUCACAACGCAAGUAAAAAAUUCAGACCAUACUAAUUGUACAAUACAAGGUAACAUUAUAUUUGCAUUAUUUACGUACGACUUACUCGUUUCAAUGGAAUAUCAUAUUCCAUCAAAUUUCUAAUGUAUUCUAUCAUCACAUGAGUGUUAUUAACUCUUGGCAUCACUUUCUCAUACCUAACUCCAUAAACAUAUAAUUCAAUACAAUUAUAGCAAGAUAGAUUUCAAGUAUAUUAACAAUAACAUGGAUAAUAUGUUUAUUUAGUCACACAAACUUACCUCGAAUGCAAUUUCGACUAAUUACAUCAUUUUAGUCCAUAACCUCGUACUUUCCGGUUUAAGCCCGAAUCUCAGUUUCUUCAUCUAAAAUGAUAAAAUUCACUACUUUAAAUCAUCACAUUAACCAAUACAUUCCAUAAUUUAUACUUUGGCAAAAUGACCAUUUUGCCCUUAGACUUUUACAAAAAUUACGAUUUUACCCCUAGGCUCGUAAAUCGAUUUUAAUGAAAUUUUCUUAUUAUCCAAGCCUAGUUGACUAUUUAUCAUACUUACAACAGCCCGUAUUUUUCACAUAUUCACACUUUUACCACAUAAUUUAUCACAUUUCUCAAUUUAGUCCCUAAUUGACAUUUCUAUCAAAAAUCACUUUACAAAUGUUGUUUAUCUAACAAUAAUGAUGUAUUUUCUAUCAUCAAUUAUCAAUACACACUUUAUCAAUAAUGGAAAAAUUCAAAAAUUUUAACAGUUUUGAAAACGAAGGUAUGAGAUAGCUAAAUCGAGUUACCACGACUCCAAAAACAUAGAAAUUAUUAAAAACGAGGAAAAAACCACUCACCUACCAAGCUCCAAAGCUUGGCCGAAUGUUUGCUC
rnacentral:lncRNA from 1 species